rnacentral:rRNA from 1 species
AUGAACGCUGGCGGCGUGCCUAAUACAUGCAAGUCGAGCGAACGGACGAGAAGCUUGCUUCUCUGAUGUUAGCGGCGGACGGGUGAGUAACACGUGGAUAACCUACCUAUAAGACUGGGAUAACUUCGGGAAACCGUAGCUAAUACCGGAUAAUAUUUUGAACCGCAUGGUUCAAAAGUGAAAGACGGUCUUGCUGUCACUUAUAGAUGGAUCCGCGCUGCAUUAGCUAGUUGGUAAGGUAACGGCUUACCAAGGCAACGAUGCAUAGCCGACCUGAGAGGGUGAUCGGCCACACUGGAACUGAGACACGGUCCAGACUCCUACGGGAGGCAGCAGUAGGGAAUCUUCCGCAAUGGGCGAAAGCCUGACGGAGCAACGCCGCGUGAGUGAUGAAGGUCUUCGGAUCGUAAAACUCUGUUAUUAGGGAAGAACGUAUGUGUAAGUAACUGUGCACAUCUUGACGGUACCUAAUCAGAAAGCCACGGCUAACUACGUG